rnacentral:misc_RNA from 1 species
CAAGAUUGGAGUAAGAAUAGCUACCACAGGAACCAACACAGAAGAAGAGAAUACCUCGCAUGCAGGAUCAAAGGCCAUGGUGGAAGGUCAACACCAAAAAUCCCUUUUUGCAUCUGUAGCCAAACCCCCAACAGACAGUGGCAGGCCAAGCAGUAUGGUUGUGAAGAAAGCACAUACCUUAAUUCCUGCAUACGUUGUAGCAGAAGCCAUAUCAACAAUUCAAGGUCUUGACCUCAGAUGGUCAGGUCCGAUAACUCCAUCAGAAAUGCAAUAUGUUGAGCAAUAUGUCUUGGCAAAGUACCCC